rnacentral:lncRNA from 1 species
GGGUGAUCUCAGGUGCUCCGGAAGGGUAAGCAGAUCCUGCUCCACAUGUGGCACCAGUCGUGUUGCUUAUGUGAUAACAAAUCCGGUAAAUAGUCUAAUUCGGUAGGUCACAUUCAUGAAAGAGAAGGGGAUUGUAGUUACGACGUAAGGAACAUAUCCGAUAUCAUUUGUGAAACGGUUAUUCCAUAACGGUCAACCAACUCGUGAUGGCGUCCGUAAAAUUUACGAAGGAAUGAUUUCAACUUCACCAUUUGGAACUCU